rnacentral:rRNA from 1 species
GACGAACGCUGGCGGCGUGCUUAACACAUGCAAGUCGAACGGGCCUGUCUUCUUUUUUGGGGGGUGGGUUGAGUGGCGAACGGGUGAGUAUCACGUGAGUAACCUGCCCUUCGGUCCUGGAUAACCGCUUGAAAGGGCGGCUAAUACGGGGUGGUCCGGUUGGUCCGCAUGGGCUGGUCGGGAUAGAUUCACUGUUUUUGGUGUUUCGGCGGGGGAUGGGCUCGCGGCCUAUCAGCUUGUUGGUGGGGUGAUGGCCUACCAAGGCGGUGACGGGUAGCCGGCCUGAGAGGGUGGGCGGCCACACUGGGACUGAGAUACGGCCCAGACUCCUGCGGGAGGCAGCAGUGGGGGUAUUGCACAAUGGGCGGAAGCCUGAUGCAGCGACGUCGCGUGAGGGAUGGAGGCCUUCGGGUUGUGAACCUCUGUUUCCGGUGGUGAAGGCCCUGUCCGUGUGGUGGGGUUGACGGUAGCCGGGGAUGAAGCGCCGGCUAACUACGUG